rfam:Salmo salar isolate Sally breed double haploid chromosome ssa21, whole genome shotgun sequence.
UCAUAUUUAAACUGUAAGUCGCUCUGGAUAAGAGCGUCUGCUAAAUGACUAAAA